AUUCUAACACAUCCCAUUGUUAGGAGCUCACCUUCAAAAUCUGACAUGAUUGGCUAAUUUAUAAUCUGUGUGUAAGAGACGGGUGUGAUAGGGUCAAAUCUCAGGAAUGUCCAGGGUUGGGCAAACAGGUGGUGUCAUUGCUAGUGGCUAGGUGACCAACUGACUGCUUAUGCAAACCACCUGGCUGAAGCUAUGAGCUGCUGAGAUCAGCAGGGGUAAUUUAGAAAUAGCAGGUUUUGGAAAAGAAGGGAAAUAUAUGCAAGAUAUGAAGAGGAGACAGUCCUUCAAUGGAACUCACAGAAUAGUUUAUUGACUGCCUUGUCAUCUCCUUGGAGGAUAACAGGCCCUUAGGUUAUAAAGACUGUCGUGGACUGGAACCAUUCUGGGAUGACUGAGCUGGUCUUUAUUG
rnacentral:lncRNA from 1 species